GCCGUGGGCGCUGGAGAACUGAGGGGGGCUGCUCCUAGUACGAGAGGACCGGAGUGGACGCAUCACUGGUGUUCGGGUUGUCAUGCCAAUGGCACUGCCCGGUAGCUAAAUGCGGAAGAGAUAAGUGCUGAAAGCAUCUAAGCACGAAACUUGCCCCGAGAUGAGUUCUCCCUGACUCCUUGAGAGUCCUGAAGGAACGUUGAAGACGACGACGUUGAUAGGCCGGGUGUGUAAGCGCAGCGAUGCGUUGAGCUAACCGGUACUAAUGAACCGUGAGGCUUAACCUUACAACGCCGAAG
rnacentral:rRNA from 1 species